rnacentral:rRNA from 1 species
AGAAUGGACGAGGUAGGCGGAAUUCGUAGUGUAGCGGUGAAAUGCAUAGAUAUUACGAAGAACUCCAAUAGUGUAGACUGCUUACCAGACCAUAUCUGACACUAAGGCACGAAAGUGUGGGUAUCAAACAGGAUUAGAUACCCUGGUAGUCCACACAGUAAACGAUGAAUACUAACUGUUUGCGAUAUACAGCAAGUGGUCGAGCGAAAGCGUUAAGUAUUCCACCUGGGAAGUAUGCCGGCAACGGUGAAACUCAAAGGAAUUGACGGGGGCCCGCACAAGCGGAGGAACAUGUGGUUUAAUUCGAUAAUACGCGAGGAACCUUACCCGGGCUCGAACGAUAUUUGAAUACAUCCGAAAAGAUGUAGCUAGCAAUAGCAAAUACCGAGGUGCUGCAUGGUUGUCGUCAGCUCGUGCCGUGAGGUGUCGACUUAAGUGUCAUAACGAGCGCAACCCUUACCGAUAGUUACCAUCAGAUAAUGCUGGGGACUCUAUUGGGACUGCCACCGUAAGGUGUGAGGAAGGAGAGGAUGACGUCAAAUCAGCACGGCCCUUAUGUCCGGGGCGACACACGUGUUACAAUGGGAGAAACAAAGGGUCGCUACCUGGCAACAGGAUGCUAAUCUCGAAAAUCUCUCUCAGUUCGGAUUGGAGUCUGCAACUCGACUCCAUGAAGCUGGAUUCGCUAGUAAUCGCACAUCAGCCAUGGUGCGGUGAAUACGUUCCCGGGCCUUGUACACACCGCCCGUCAAGCCAUGGAAGCUGGAAGUACCUGAAGUAUGUAACUGAAAAGAGCGUCCU